rnacentral:rRNA from 1 species
GGCGGCGUGCCUAAUACAUGCAAGUCGAGCGAACAGAAAAGGAGCUUGCUCCUUUGACGUUAGCGGCGGACGGGUGAGUAACACGUGGGCAACCUACCCUAUAGUUUGGGAUAACUCCGGGAAACCGGGGCUAAUACCGAAUAAUCUCCUUUACUUCAUGGUGAAGGACUGAAAGACGGUUUCGGCUGUCGCUAUAGGAUGGGCCCGCGGCGCAUUAGCUAGUUGGUGAGGUAACGGCUCACCAAGGCGACGAUGCGUAGCCGACCUGAGAGGGUGAUCGGCCACACUGGGACUGAGACACGGCCCAGACUCCUACGGGAGGCAGCAGU